rnacentral:rRNA from 1 species
UUAGUAACUGCGAGUGAAGAGGGAAAAGCUCAAAUUUAAAAUCUGGCAGUGUUUCACUGUCCGAGUUGUAACCUAGAGAAGUGUAACCUGCGCUGGACCGUGUAUAAGUCUCCUGGAAUGGAGCAUCACUGAGGGUGAGAAUCCCGUCUUUGACACGGACCACCAGUGCAUUGUGGUUGUGCUCUCAACGAGUCGAGUUGUUUGGGAAUGCAGCUCUAAAUGGGUGGUAAAUUCCAUCUAAAGCUAAAUAUUGGCGAGAGACCGAUAGCGAACAAGUACCGUGAGGGAAAGAUGAAAAGAACUUUGGAAAGAGAGUUAAACAGUAUGUGAAAUUGUUGAAAGGGAAACGUUUGAAGUCAGUCGCGUYGGUUGGGGAUCAGCCUGACAUUGUUGGGUGUACUUCCUGGUUGACGGGCCAACRUCAGUUUUGAUUGCCAGAAAAAGGCCAAAGGAAUGUGGCACCUUUGGGUGUGUUAUAGCCCUUGGUCGUAUAUGGUGGUUGGGACUGAGGAAAGCAGCGUGCCGAAAGGCCGGGUUUCGACCACGUUCACGCUGAGGAUGUUGGCAUAAUGGCUUUAAGCGACCCGUCUUGAAACACGGACCAAGGAGUCUAACAUGCAUGCGAGUGUUUGGGUGGAAAACCCUUACGCGUAAUGAAAGUGAAAGUUGAGAUCCCUGUCGUGGGGAGCAUCGACGCCCGGACCAGAACUUUUGGGACGGAUCUGCGGUAGAGCACGUAUGUUGGGACCCGAAAGAUGGUGAACUAUGCCUGAAUAGGGUGAAGCCAGAGGAAACUCUGGUGGAGGCUCGUAGCGAUUCUGACGUGCAAAUCGAUCGUCAAAUUUGGGUAUAGGGGCGAAAGACUAAUCGAACCAUCUAGUAGCUGGUUCCUGCCGAA